rnacentral:rRNA from 1 species
UACACGACCGUACCGCAAACCGACACUGGUGCGCGAGAUGAGUAUUCUAAGGCGCUUGAGAGAACUCAGGAGAAGGAACUCGGCAAAUUGACACCGUAACUUCGGAAGAAGGUGUGCCUUUAGUAGGUGAACCUGUACAAGGGGAGCCCAAUGAGGUUGCAAAAAAUCGGUGGCUGCGACUGUUUAAUAAAAACACAGCACUCUGCAAACACGAAAGUGGACGUAUAGGGUGUGACGCCUGCCCGGUGCUGGAAGAUUAAAUGAUGGGGUGCAAGCUCUUGAUUGAAGUCCCAGUAAACGGCGGCCGUAACGAUAACGGUCCUAAGGUAGCGAAAUUCCUUGUCGGGUAAGUUCCGACCUGCACGAAUGGCGUAACGAUGGCCACACUGUCUCCUCCUGAGACUCAGCGAAGUUGAAAUGUUUGUGAUGAUGCAAUCUCCCCGCGGAAAGACGGAAAGACCCCAUGAACCUUUACUGUAGCUUUGUAUUGGACUUUGAACAGAUCUGUGUAGGAUAGGUGGGAGGCUUUGAAGUGUGGUCGCUAGAUCGCAUGGAGCCAACGUUGAAAUACCACCCUGGUGUGUUUGAGGUUCUAACCUAGGCCCGUAAUCCGGGUCGGGGACAGUGCAUGGUAGGCAGUUUGACUGGGGCGGUCUCCUCCCAAAGCGUAACGGAGGAGUUCGAAGGUACGCUAGGUACGGUCGGACAUCGUGCUAAUAGUGCAAUGGCAUAAGCGUGCUUAACUGCGAGACUGACAAGUCGAGCAGAUGCGAAAGCAGGACAUAGUGAUCCGGUGGUUCUGUAUGGAAGGGCCAUCGCUCAACGGAUAAAAGGUACUCUGGGGAUAACAGGCUGAUACCGCCCAAGAGUUCAUAUCGACGGCGGUGUUUGGCACCUCGAUGUCGGCUCAUCUCAUCCUGGGGCUGUAGCCGGUCCCAAGGGUAUGGCUGUUCGCCAUUUAAAGAGGUACGUGAGCUGGGUUUAAAACGUCGUGAGACAGUUUGGUCCCUAUCUUCCGUGGGCGCUGCAGAUUUGAGGAAGCCUGCUCCUAGUACGAGAGGACCGGAGUGGACACACCUCUGGUGUAUCGGUUGUCACGCCAGUGGCAUUGCCGAGUAGCUAUGUGUGGAAGAGAUAACCGCUGAAAGCAUCUAAGCGGGAAACUCGUUUCAAGAUGAGAUCUGCCGGGGCCUUGAGCCCCCUAAAGAGUCGUUCAAGACCAGGACGUUGAUAGGUCGGGUGUGGAAGCGCAGUAAUGCGUUAAGCUAACCGAUACUAAUUGCUCGUGCGGCUUGACC